ACUUAAAAUGGUUGAGAGGUUAAAACCAGAAAACUUUACGGAGGAGAAUUCUCCGUUCCGUGUCCGUGUACAGUUCUCAAGUUGGGAGGUUGUACAGAUGGUUUUAUGCUUCUGUACCCUACUACCUAUCAGAUUAGUAGUGGGACUCGUUUCCUUAGUUUUAGCCUGGAUAGUAUCAAGUAUAGGACUACUAGAAAUGGAUUUAUCUAAACCUAU